rnacentral:tRNA from 1 species
GGAAUUGUGGCUCAGUGGCAGAGCGCUUGCCUCACUAGUAUGAGGCACUGGGUUCUAUUCUCAGCACCA